AUUGAACGCUGGCGGCAGGCCUAACACAUGCAAGUCGAACGGUAGCACAGAGAGCUUGCUCUCGGGUGACGAGUGGCGGACGGGUGAGUAAUGUCUGGGAAACUGCCCGAUGGAGGGGGAUAACUACUGGAAACGGUAGCUAAUACCGCAUAACGUCGCAAGACCAAAGUGGGGGACCUUCGGGCCUCACACCAUCGGAUGUGCCCAGAUGGGAUUAGCUAGUAGGUGGGGUAAUGGCUCACCUAGGCGACGAUCCCUAGCUGGUCUGAGAGGAUGACCAGCCACACUGGAACUGAGACACGGUCCAGACUCCUACGGGAGGCAGCAGUGGGGAAUAUUGCACAAUGGGCGCAAGCCUGAUGCAGCCAUGCCGCGUGUAUGAAGAAGGCCUUCGGGUUGUAAAGUACUUUCAGCGGGGAGGAAGGCGGUGGAGUUAAUAGCUUCACCGAUUGACGUUACCCGCAGAAGAAGCACCGGCUAACUCCGUGCCAGCAGCCGCGGUAAUACGGAGGGUGCAAGCGUUAAUCGGAAUUACUGGGCGUAAAGCGCACGCAGGCGGUCUGUCAAGUCGGAUGUGAAAUCCCCGGGCUUAACCUGGGAACUGCAUUCGAAACUGGCAGGCUAGAGUCUUGUAGAGGGGGGUAGAAUUCCAGGUGUAGCGGUGAAAUGCGUAGAGAUCUGGAGGAAUACCGGUGGCGAAGGCGGCCCCCUGGACAAAGACUGACGCUCAG
rnacentral:rRNA from 2 species